CUGGGAUUAGAUACCCUGUUAUUUAAAUAUAAAAAUAAUAAAAUUAAGUAUUAAAUGAAAAACAUUAAAUUUAAAUAAUUUGGCGGUAUUUUUUAAUUAGAGGAACUUGUUUUUUAAUUGAUAAUCCACGAUUAUAUUUACUUAAUUAAUAUAAAAUUUUAUGUAUUGUUGUUUUUAAUUUAUCAUAAAUAUGAUAUAUAUUUGAAAUUUUUGAUAUAAAAAUAAUUCAAAUCAAAAUGUAGAAUUGUUAAGAUAAAAUGAGUUACAAUUAAUUUAAUUAAUGGAUUAUGAUAAAUAAUUAUUUUAAAUAAAUUGGAUUUAAAAGUAAAUUUAAUUAAAUAAUUAAAUUGAAAUAUAAAAAAAAUGUGUACAAAUCGCCC
rnacentral:rRNA from 1 species